rnacentral:rRNA from 1 species
ACGCUGGCGGCACGCCUAACACAUGCAAGUCGAACGAAGUAGCAAUACUUAGUGGCAGACGGGUGAGUAACAUGUAGGUAUCUACCCUUUGGCCUGGAAUAACACGAGGAAACUUGUGCUAAUACCGGAUAAGUCUUUACGGAGAAAGCUUUAUGCACCAUUGGAUGAGCCUGCACUUGAUUAGUUUGUUGGUGGGGUAAUGGCCUACCAAGACUGUGAUCAAUAGCUGAUUUGAGAGGAUGAUCAGCCACAUUGGGACUGAGACACGGCCCAAACUCCUACGGGAGGCAGCAGUGGGGAAUCUUGCACAAUGGAGGAAACUCUGAUGCAGCGAUGCCGCGUGAGUGAAGAAGGCCUUUGGGUUGUAAAGCUCUUUCGUCGGGGAAGAAAAUGACUGUACCCGAAUAAGAAGGUCCGGCUAACUUCGUGCCAGCAGCCGCGGUAAUACGAAGGGACCUAGCGUAGUUCGGAAUUACUGGGCUUAAAGAGUUCGUAGGUGGUUGAAAAAGUUAGUGGUGAAAUCCCAGAGCUUAACUCUGGAACUGCCAUUAAAACUUUUCAGCUAGAGUAUGAUAGAGGAAAGCAGAAUUUCUAGUGUAGAGGUGAAAUUCGUAGAUAUUAGAAAGAAUACCAAUUGCGAAGGCAGCUUUCUGGAUCAUUACUGACACUGAGGAACGAAAGCAUGGGUAGCGAAGAGGAUUAGAUACCCUCGUAGUCCAUGCCGUAAACGAUGUGUGUUAGACGUUGGAAAUUUAUUUUCAGUGUCGCAGCGAAAGCGAUAAACACACCGCCUGGGGAGUACGACCGCAAGGUUAAAACUCAAAUGAAUUGACGGGGACCCGCACAAGUAGUGGAGCAUGUGGUUUAAUUCGAAGAUACGCGCAGAACCUUACCAACACUUGACAUGUUCGUCGCGACUCUAAGAGAUUAGAGUUUUCGGUUCGGCCGGACGAAACACAGGUGCUGCAUGGCUGUCGUCAGCUCGUGUCGUGAGAUGUUGGGUUAAGUCCCGCAACGAGCGCAACCCUCACUUUUAGUUGCCAUCAUUAAGUUGGGCACUCUGAAAGAACUGCCAGUGAUAAGCUGGAGGAAGGUGGGGAUGACGUCAAGUCCUCAUGGCCCUUACGUGUUGGGCUACACACGUGCUACAAUGGUAUCUACAACAGGAAGCAAGACUGCGAGGUCAAGCAAAUCCUUAAAAGAUACCUCAGUUCGAAUUGCACUCUGCAACUCGAGUGCAUGAAGCUGGAAUUACUAGUAAUCGUGGAUCAGCGUGCCACGGUGAAUGCGUUCCCGGGUCUUGUACACACCGCCCGUCACACCAUGGGAGUUGGUUCUACCUUAAGGCAAGGUUUCAAACCCUUGACCACGGUAUAGUCAGCGACUGGGGUG